CGUGUAGGCGGUUUGGCAAGUCAGAUGUGAAAGCCCUGGGCUCAACCCAGGAAGUGCAUUUGAAACUGCCUUUCUAGAGUAUGGGAGAGGAGAGUGGAAUUCCCAGUGUAGAGGUGAAAUUCGUAGAUAUUGGGAGGAACACCCGUGGCGAAGGCGACUCUCUGGACCAAUACUGACGCUGAGACGCGAAAGCGUGGGGAGCAAACA
rnacentral:rRNA from 1 species